AUUUGACUCAACGCGGGGAAUCUUACCGGGUCCGGACACACUGAGGAUUGACAGACAGUUGUCUUUCCCUCCCUUCGGGGUGGGAUUACAAAAGAUAACAGAUCUUUCAUGAUCAUGUGAUGGGUGGUGCAUGGCCGUUCUUAGUUCGUGGAGUGAUCUGUCUGCUUAAUUGCGUUUCAAAUUUUAUAUUUGUUAACAUGCGAGUCUUCAAUGACGGCCACUCCACCUUAUAGACAUUAUAUGAUAUGCACAUUUGUGUAUUUGAUUAUAACUUGUCUGGAGUCUGGCUCGAUUUUUUUGACUCAAUUGAACGCAACGGACGUGAUUGCAAGUCCUUGUUGAACAAAUUAUAUAUAUACUACUUCAUCAUUAGUAUAUAUAGUUCGCUUCUCAUGUCGUAGCAGUCAAACGGGCGGGCGUCUUAAUUGGCGCGGUCACGAGGCUUAAUAUGCUGCGGCUGGGGAAAACUUGGGCGACCGCUGUAAUACUUCUCUCUUAAACCAGAGGAAGAUUGCGGCAAUAACAGGUCUGUGAUG
rnacentral:rRNA from 1 species